rnacentral:misc_RNA from 1 species
UACGGAGGUUGCAAGCGUUGUUCGGAACUAUUGGGCGUAAAGCGCACGCAGGCGGCAAGGUAAGUCAGUUGUGAAACUCCCGGGCUUAACCUGGGAACGGCAGCUGAUACUGCCCUGCUUGAGUACGGAAGAGGGGAGCGGAAUUCCCAGUGUAGAGGUGAAAUUCGCAGAUAUUGGGAGGAACACCGGUGGCGAAAGCGGCUCCCUGGUCCGAUACUGACGCUCAUGUGCGAAAGCGUGGGGAGCAAACAGG